AGAACAUUUUGAAUAGUCCAUAUACAGCUCUGUAAGCGCCACAGACACAGUGCUAGCAUGUUCCAGGAACUUUGCAAUGCUUAACAAAAAACACGUACUUCUGACAAGCAUUUUAUCAUCUGUCCAGGUCUGGGUUAUACACAACAUGCUUUACUUGGAACGAAACUGGCACGUGACGACACCUUCUGUUUGGCACUUUCCUGUCCUUCCCUGCCCAUGCGUACCAUCUCCUGUCACCAGGGGCUUAUCAGCUCUGCAUCGCCCUGGCAGCACGGGAAGGACAGGACCAAGUCCUAGGCCUGCUAUGCUCUACAGCAGAGCCAGUAUAGCAGGGUGCUCACCCCACAAUGGGCGCAAAGCAUUGGCUAUUCCACCAACAUCUCUACCCCUCCAGCCUCAUUCUGUGGCAGAACCUUUUCUGAUGGUUCCAUGCUAGUUCUUGCUUCAGUGCCCUCACCUUUGUGGACACAGAGCAUUCAGGAGGAGGAAGCAUGAAGGAGACAGGGGAAUGUGGUUCCCCACCAGCAUGCACAUCCACACAAUGUUACACAGGAACCACAGCUGCAAAGCUCUGGUAGGCAUUUACUGUCUAACAAGAUAUGAGCUCUACGAUGUGACUAUACAUCUAUAACAUUCCUCCCUCCAUCGCAGUUCUCUCCUGUAUAGUACCAGAUGAAAUUCCA